rnacentral:tRNA from 1 species
GCACCUAUAGCUCAAUCGGAUAGAGUUUCUGGCUUCGAACCAGACGGUUAGGGGUUCAAUUCCUCUUGGGUGCG